GUGUUGUAUGAAAAGAAAGAAAAUUAGUACUCCCCUUGCUAAGCAUGGAAGAGCUCCUAGUGACCUUUACAACAUAUGUGCAUCAAGUCACCACAUAUUUAUUAAGUAUUUACUAUGUGCCAAGCACUGU